rnacentral:pre_miRNA from 1 species
UCUUCAUUUUACGCACUCUAUCUCACCGGUCAGACAGGCGAGAGAGUGUGUGUGAAAUGAAGAGA